rnacentral:tRNA from 1 species
GCGGAUGUGGCGAAAUUGGUAGACGCACCAGAUUUAGGUUCUGGCGGGAUACCGUGGGGGUUCGAGUCCCUCCAUCCGCACCA